GGGGGCGGAGCCUAACCGCCGAGCUGGAAGGACGCGUUGAACACCAGCUCCUGCCUGAACGCAACAAAAACAAGGGUAAAUACCCCGAAAAUCGGUGCGUCCACCAGCUGGAGGGUAUGAGACAGAGUGGGGACACCCAGGAGCACAAAAUGAUACCAAACUCGAGUACCCCACAGCCCGGAAACCCACAAAAAGCACCUGAGGCCUACCAGCGACUGAGCCGGGGAGAGGCGGCCGCUCUCCUCGAAGACACAGCCGCGCAUAGAACCCUCGGCGCACCCGCCUCCCUCCCCCCCCCACCAGGACCGGCGGGGGUCAUCCCGGUCCACACUAGACACCAGGGCUGCCAACUGACACAGCCUACCAAGCCUGUACCAAUACCUCACAGAGACAGCUCCUCGCAUGGCGAGUCCAAGAUGGCAGCUGGCGGCAAGAGGCACACGGCAAGCACACAAGCGAAGUUGGCGAACAUAGUACCAAUAAAACCUACUGGAGGCCCACAGGAACCUCUUGAAAAACGGCUAGAUGAGCUCUUUCGUGCCUUCUGGCUGAAGCUCGAACACAGACAAGCUCUGACCGCAGAGAAAAGCAGAGAAGAUGGAGCACAGAGGCUCCAGCUCUGCACAGCUAUGCUGUCCACAGCCUGCUCAGCAAACCCUGGGAGGAAAGCCCGCCAAACCACAGCCCGUCCACGUCCUGUGAAACGCAGUACCUACUCGCCUAAACAGAAAACUAAACGGAGGACACACUGGAUACAAGCUACACGCCACCGGCGGGAACAACCUUGCCCUCAAACCAAGCAUACUGCCAGCUGGGACACCGCUCGUGGAACUAAGAGGGACCGAAGAGCUGGGAACUACACAGGUGCCCUCGCAGAGGCCUGGG